rnacentral:rRNA from 1 species
AUUGAACGCUGGCGGCAUGCCUAACACAUGCAAGUCGAGCGGAUGAAGGGAGCUUGCUCCUGGAUUCAGCUGCGGACGGGUGAGUAAUGCCUAGGAAGCUGCCUGGUAGUGGGGGAUAACGUCCGGAAACGGGCGCUAAUACCGCAUACGUCCUGAGGGAGAAAGGGGGGGAUCUUCGGACCUCACGCUAUCAGAUGAGCCUAGGUCGGAUUAGCUAGUUGGUGGGGUAAAGGCUUACCAAGGCGACGAUCCGUAACUGGUCUGAGAGGAUGAUCAGUCACACUGGAACUGGGACACGGUCCAGACUCCUACGGGAGGCAGCAGUGGGGAAUAUUGGACAAUGGGCGAAAGCCUGAUCCAGCCAUGCCGCGUGUGUGAAGAAGGUCUUCGGAUCGUAAAGCACUUUUAGUUGGGAGGAAGGGAAGUAAGUUAAUACCUUGCUGUUUUGACGUUACCAACAGAAUAAGCACCGGCUAACUUCGUG